rnacentral:rRNA from 1 species
GACGAACGCUGGCGGCGUGCUUAACACAUGCAAGUCGAGCGGUGAAAGCGGAGCUUGCUCCGCUGGAUCAGUGGCGAACGGGUGAGUAACACGUGGGCAACCUGCCCCUCACUCCGGGAUAACUCCGGGAAAACGGGGCUAAUACCGGAUAUGACCUCCUUGGUCAUCCUUGGAGGUGGAAAGUUUUUCGGUGAGGGAUGGGCCCGCGGCCUAGCAGCUUGUUGGUGGGGUAGUGGCUCGCCAAGGCGACGACGGGUAGCCGGCCUGAGAGGGCGACCGGCCACACUGGGACUGAGACACGGCCCAGACUCCUACGGGAGGCAGCAGUGGGGAAUAUUGCGCAAUGGGCGAAAGCCUGACGCAGCAACGCCGCGUGCGGGAUGACGGCCUUCGGGUUGUAAACCGCUUUCAGCAGGGAAGAAGCCGCAAGGUGACGGUACCUGCAGAAGAAGCACCGGCUAACUACGUGCCAGCAGCCGCGGUAA